GGCGGACGGGUGAGUAAUACAUCGGAACGUGCCCGAUCGUGGGGGAUAACGAAGCGAAAGCUUUGCUAAUACCGUAUACGAUCUACGGAUAAAAGCAGGGGACCGCAAGGCCUUGCGCGAACGGAGCGGCCGAUGGCAGAUUAGGUAGUUGGUGGGAUAAAAGCUUACCAAGCCGACGAUCUGUAGCUGGUCUGAGAGGACGACCAGCCACACUGGGACUGAGACACGGCCCAGACUCCUACGGGAGGCAGCAGUGGGGAAUUUUGGACAAUGGGCGAAAGCCUGAUCCAGCCAUGCCGCGUGCAGGAUGAAGGCCUUCGGGUUGUAAACUGCUUUUGUACGGAACGAAAAGACUCUGGUUAAUACCUGGGGUCCAUGACGGUUUUCGUUUUUAAUACCCCCCGGCUAACUACGUGCCAGCAGCCGCAGUAAUACGUAGGGUGCAAGUGUUAAUCGGAAUUACUGGGCGUAAAGCGUGCGCAGGCGGUUAUAUAAGACAGAUGUGAAAUCCCCGGGCUCAACCUGGAACUGCAUUUGUGACUGUAUAGCUAGA
rnacentral:rRNA from 1 species